UGGGGAAUAUUGCACAAUGGACGGAAGUCUGAUGCAGCGACGCCGCGUGGGGGAUGAAGGCUUUCGGGUUGUAAACUCCUUUUGAUGCUGAACAAGGCUCUUUUUAGGGCUGAGGGUAGGUGUUGAAUAAGCGCCGGCUAACUACGUGCCAGCAGCCGCGGUAAUACGUAGGGCGCGAGCGUUGUCCGGAAUUAUUGGGAGUAAAGGGCUCGUAGGCGGUUUGUCGCGUCUGCUGUGAAAGACCGGGGCUUAACUCCGGGGUUGCAGUGGGUACGGGCAGACUAGAGUGCGGUAGGGGUAGCUGGAAUUCCUGGUGUAGCGGUGGAAUGCGCAGAUAUCAGGAGGAACACCGAUGGCGAAGGCAGGUUACUGGGCCGUUACUGACGCUGAGGAGCGAAAGCAUGGGGAGCGAACA
rnacentral:rRNA from 1 species